GCUGACACGUUAACUGCAGGCUUAAAAGGAGCCAGAAGUGCAAGUAUAGAAUCUCUUCUGCUGCUUGGUUAUUGCUGUCUUGAAGGAAACAGCAGUGGGUUCUUUUGGAAUCAAACAAGAUGACAUCUGAGACACUGCUGAUGCAGUUUUUCCUCCCAGCAAGCACACCCCAAAGGAUCCUGAGAUUUGGCUGAAGCCUAGUGACCUCCUACUGACCAGCAGGAUCCCUAAGUAGCUGUCUGCCAUCACAGCUGCUGAUGUCCUUAAGUUUCAGAAAAUCUUUGAAAUCCUUCACUGCUUGAGCUCUGUCACAAUGUAACAUGGAAGGC
ensembl:lncRNA